GCCGGGGCAGUAGAAGAGGAAGAGGCCCCGUCCCUCUAAGGAGGUCGACUUUUUGGGCACAAACCCGGAGGAGCCCGUAAGGGAAGUGUUGGAGGCUUUUCCUCCAGAAACAGCUGCGGUGGCGGUGGUCCACAGCAAAUACUAGACUGAGGAGUGGAGGGACCACACCUCCUCCUGCAUAGCUGAGGACUUGGUGGCUGCAAAUAGCACCUGCGUGGCUCGGGCCCUGAGUACAAGUAUCCAACUUGAGGGCUUGGUGAAUGAUUUGAACUCCAAGAGGGAGGAUCUCGCCAAGCGCCUCAAGGAGGCGAUGCACUAUGGGGAUGUCGUGCGAGAGGCCCAAGCCAAGGCCACGCAGGCGAAGGAGGGGAAGAAGGAGGCUGAGGCCCAGCUAACUGCCGCCAAAGCAGAAGUGGAGCGGCUGAAGAAGGAGUUGUACGAGGUGGAGUGCCAAGUGGCUGCUGUGACUUGGUGGCUUGAUCACGCCAAUGAGCACCACAAGCUCGCCACCGAGGCCCUGGAUGCCUCAAACAAAGAGAAGGCGGAGCUGAGGCAGAAGGCAGAGGCUCAGUCAGAGGAGAUUGCCUCUUUAAAGGAGGAGUUGAAGUCUGCAGGGGAGGUAGCAAUUCAGAACUUCAUCGACCACUUUGAAGACCAUCCCCUGUAUGACAACUUCGCCAAUUUUUGGGCCUCUUGGAGUGCCCAAAGCUUAUUGGGUCGAC
rnacentral:lncRNA from 1 species